rnacentral:lncRNA from 1 species
GAUUGAUAUCAUCAUUUUUUUAUAUUCCUUUAAUAAGGCACAAGCUAACUAAAAAAUUAUUAUCCGCUGUGGGGAGACUCACUGUCGCUUGGGUUAAUAUCUGUAUGGAUUGCUUAAGGGGGCUAGAAUUGCUUAAGAUUACAUCAACUCUUGAGUGACGCCAGUGCUGCAAGAUAGUUACUAUUAUAAUUUAUCCAAUUGCCAUCGUCUGGGUACUUGAGAGGAGGAUCAUUUUGAUUCCCUUCAAAUGAAGGUACAUGUCUUAAAUGGCGGAUUGCUCUGAGACGAGAAGACGAUAAUGGUUCAAUCUGGAGGUCAACACUAUACUCUGUAUUAUGUGAAAAACACUUCAAGCCAGAAGAUUUCCGAGUGCCGAGACAAACUUUAGCUUCUGUGGGAGGAAAAACAUAUCGGGGGCAUUCGAAACGAGAUGCAAUCUUAUCUCUUUUUCCUUGAUCACAAUUAAGUAAAAAUCCGGUUGAGGAAAAUUUUCGUUUGAUCAACAUUGAAAUUGGAAUGGUAACAUAAUUAAUAUCGAUGACAACAGCAUGAUAACAACUCCUGAUCAAUACUUGGAUGUGCUAGUAGAGGAGGUACAGACUGAGAGCAUCAACGAAAGUAUUUUACCUCCAAAACAAGACGAAGAUAACCAAUCAGAUACC